UACGGGGGGGGCAAGCGUUGUUCGGAAUUACUGGGCGUAAAGGGCUUGUAGGUGGCCAACUAAGUCAGACGUGAAAUCCCCUCGGCUUAACCGGGGAACUGCGUCUGAUACUGGAUGGCUUGAGUGUGGGAGAGGGAUGCGGAAUUCCAGGUGUAGCGGUGAAAUGCGUAGAUAUCUGGAGGAACACCGGUGGCGAAGGCGGCAUCCUGGACCAUUACUGACACUGAAAAGCGAAAGCCAGGGGAGCAAACGGG
rnacentral:rRNA from 1 species